AAAAUAUUUCCGACCAAAGAGAGAGAGAGAGAGGAGAGAGAGAGUGAGAGAGAGAGCGCUAAGCUCUCAGAGAAUCGAGAGAAAAUGGCCGGCGAUCGAGAGAUCGGAGACGAAACGAGGAAUCGAAUGAUGCAGAACCUCUUCGGUGAGCAAUCGGAGGACGAGGAGGAGGAAGAGGAGGUCGAUUCCGAGCACGACGUCGCCGCCAAUCACUCCGAUUACCAGUCGGAUGAAGGGGAAGGAGAGGCAGAGCAUGAUGGUGAAGGUCAAGGUGAAGCUGAGGGACAGGGGGAAGCUGAAGUAGAAAGUGAAGGGGAAGCACGUUUAGUGGAUCAUGAUCAAGGAGAGAGCGAGGGAGAAAGAAUCCAGAGUUCCCCAGAAAAAGAAGUUAGUGAACAACAACAGAUGGAGAGCGAAGGUAAAGAUGCAGAAAGUGAGGAAGAAUAUGGACAGAGGGUAGCAACAAGCAGAAGACGGGAAGUAAUUGGUAGCGAGUCUGAGGGAUCUGGAGAUAAUCAUUAUGCUGAUCAUGAUAAUGAAGAAGAGGAGGUUGAUCAAGCAAGGAAGGAUAGCAGGUCUCCGGAGGAGCAAAAAGACGAUGAAGCUGUUCGUAAGGUGUUUGGAGAUUCUGAUGAUGAUGAAGCUGAAUACGGUGUUCAGAACGAGCAAGAACAAGAUUCACACAGAUCUCCUAUGGAGGAGGAUGUCGACGACUAUGAUAAAGAUUUGAGACCAGAAGAUAUGGUGCCAGAUGAAGAUGUACAAUAUGAGUCAGAAGAUGAACGUCAUGAACAGAAACCCAAGGAGAAGCCAGUUGGUCCCCCAUUGGAGAUGGAAAUUCCGCUGCGCCCUCCUCCAGGUCGACCUGAUAGGAUGAACAUGAUUAGAGUAUCUAACAUCAUGGGCAUUGAACCAAAACCUUUUGAUCCAAAGACAUAUGUGGAAGAGGAUGUUUUUGUGACAGAUGAAUCUGGAACAAAAAAACGCAUACGCCUAGAAGACAAUAUUGUGCGUUGGAGAAACGUCAAGAGACGUGAUGGCAGAACAUCUAUAGAAAGCAAUGCACGUUUUGUAAAGUGGAGUGAUGGAAGUAUGCAACUGUUAAUUGGGAAUGAAGUUCUAAACCUAACCGUUCAAGAGGCACUUCAUGACCAAACCCACCUUUUCCUUCGCCAUGGAAAGGGAAUUUUGCAAUCACAAGGGAGGCUCUUAAAGAAGAUGAGGUUUAUGCCGUCUUCGUUGACAUCAAAGUCUCACCGAUUAUUGACUGCUCUUGUUGAUUCACGUCAUAAGAAAGUCUAUAAGGUGAAAAAUUGUAUUACAGACAUUGAUCCAGAGAGAGAGAAGGAGGAGAAAGAAAAGGUUGAAGGCCAAACGAUUAGGGCCAAUGAACUUCUUCAUCGAAAACGUGAAAAAGUGAAAAGCAAAUACACACAAACAUACCGUAGGGAACGGCAACUUUCUCCAGGAUUCUUGGAAGAUGGUCCUGAAGAGGAAGAAGAAGCUGAUGAUUAUUACAGCUCUCGUCGGCGAAAUCGUUUUGAGGAAGAUCUAGAAGCAGAAGCACGAGCUGAGAAGCGCAUUAUUAAUGCCAAAAGGUCAAAUGUGAACAAGAAUGUUCCUCGCAAGACAUCCUUGCCUGCUGCUCGUCCAUCCAAGCGUCCUGUAUAUUCUGAGAGUGAAAGAGAGGAGUCAGAGUAUGAAACGGAUGGGGAGGAUAUUGAGCGGUCACCGACUCACGGGGACGAACUACCAGACCAUGAAGAUGAAUAUGAAGAUGAUGAGGAAGAAGAAGCUGUAACAAACUCAGAAGAGGAAGAGGAGGAACCAAGGAAAAAGAAGGAAACUGGAGGAAGCAGUCGCAAGCGCAAGGAGAUCGAGUCAGAUGAGGAUUCUCCUCCCAGAAAGGCAGCACCAGCUCAACGCAGAAAGGCAGUUGUGUUUGAUAGCGAUGAGGAUUGAAUAUGACAGUUCCAGGGCCUAAAACUGUAGAUAUGCAAAAGAGAGAUCCAAUAAAAAUUUCCACCUUUUCCAUUCUCCUUUUUUUUUAAUUUUAUUUAUGCAAGAGUCGUAUAUUCAAAGGGAAAAUAGGAUCCGGUUCAUCCGUGGUGACAAACUUUGGAUGUCUCCGACAAAAGGCGUAUUCGUUGGAGGCAUCAGUUAUCAUCAGAUGGUAUCUAGUUAUAGAUCUGUGGCAGUGAGAAGCUUAUCAGUUUUAACAGAAAUAAUAUAAUUGAGGAUUUUGCUAAGCCAUGCUUUUAAAUUUCCAAGUGUUUGUGAGGCCAACUUGGAUUAUAUGCUACUCCUUAGUUUCUUUUUUAUUGAAGAAAAAAAAAAAUUCUGUGGUUGGAGAAUUUCUGUUGAUGGAUGGCAAUUUACCUUGGGAUUUUCGUUCGGUGCUGAGUUAUACCUUCUUUUAAAGUUUUGUCUGCA